rnacentral:rRNA from 1 species
GGAAUAUUGCACAAUGGGCGAAAGCCUGAUGCAGCAACGCCGCGUGAGGGAUGACGGCCUUCGGGUUGUAAACCUCUUUUAGUAGGGAAGAAGCGAAAGUGACGGUACCUGCAGAAAAAGCACCGGCUAACUACGUGCCAGCAGCCGCGGUAAUACGUAGGGUGCAAGCGUUGUCCGGAAUUAUUGGGCGUAAAGAGCUCGUAGGCGGUUUGUCGCGUCUGCUGUGAAAUCUGGGGGCUCAACCCCCAGCCUGCAGUGGGUACGGGCAGACUAGAGUGCGGUAGGGGAGAUUGGAAUUCCUGGUGUAGCGGUGGAAUGCGCAGAUAUCAGGAGGAACACCGAUGGCGAAGGCAGAUCUCUGGGCCGUAACUGACGCUGAGGAGCGAAAGCAUGGGGAGCGAACAGGAUUAGAUACCCUUG